GAUGAACGCUGGCGGCGUGCUUAACACAUGCAAGUCGAACGAAGCACCUUGAUUUGAUUCUUCGGAUGAAGAUCUUGGUGACUGAGUGGCGGACGGGUGAGUAACGCGUGAGGAACCUGCCUCAUACAGGGGGAUAACAGUCAGAAAUGGCUGCUAAUACCGCAUAAGCGCACAGUACCGCAUGGUACAAGUGUGAAAAACUCCGGUGGUAUGAGAUGGACCCGCGUCUGAUUAGCUGGUUGGUGGGGUAACGGCCUACCAAGGCGACGAUCAGUAGCCGACCUGAGAGGGUGACCGGCCACAUUGGGACUGAGACACGGGCCCAA
rnacentral:rRNA from 1 species